rnacentral:tRNA from 1 species
GGUUGUAUAGUGUAGCGGUGAGCACGUGGGAUUUUGAUUAGUAAUCAAGCCUUCCCGAGUCCGUAAGUUAUCCUCAAUGACUAUCCCAGUCUGAGCAUCUUCUAACAUACCUUAGUGGGUUCGAACCCCAGUACGACCU